UACGAAGGGUGCAAGCGUUGUUCGGAAUUAUUGGGCGCAAAGAGCUCGUAGGCGGUCUGUCGCGUCUGCUGUGAAAACUCAGGGCUUAACCCUGAGCUUGCAGUGGGUACGGGCAGACUAGAGUGCGGUAGGGGAGACUGGAAUUCCUGGUGUAGCGGUGAAAUGCGCAGAUAUCAGGAGGAACACCGGUGGCGAAGGCGGGUCUCUGGGCCGUAACUGACGCUGAGGAGCGAAAGCAUGGGGAGCGAACAGG
rnacentral:rRNA from 1 species